GGAAUCUUCCACAAUGGACGAAAGUCUGAUGGAGCAACGCCGCGUGAGUGAUGAAGGUUUUCGGAUCGUAAAACUCUGUUGUAAGGGAAGAACAGGUAUGAGAGGUAAUGCUCAUGCUAUGACGGUACCUUACGAGAAAGCCACGGCUAACUACGUGCCAGCAGCCGCGGUAAUACGUAGGUGGCAAGCGUUGUCCGGAAUUAUUGGGCGUAAAGCGCGCGCAGGCGGCCUUUUAAGUCUGAUGUGAAAGCCCCCGGCUCAACCGGGGAGGGUCAUUGGAAACUGGAAGGCUUGAGUACAGAAGAGAAGAGUGGAAUUCCAUGUGUAGCGGUGAAAUGCGUAGAGAUGUGGAGGAACACCAGUGGCGAAGGCGACUCUUUGGUCUGUAACUGACGCUGAGGCGCGAAAGCGUGGGGAGCAAACAGGAUUAGAUACCCGGG
rnacentral:rRNA from 1 species